GACGAACGCUGGCGGCGUGCUUAACACAUGCAAGUCGAACGACGUGGCGAACGGGUGAGUAACGCGUAAUCAACCUGCCCUUCAGAGGGGGACAACAGUUGGAAACGACUGCUAAUACCGCAUACUGAAGGCGGGGCUUGCGUCUGAUUAGCUAGUUGGAGGGGUAACGGCCAAACAAGGCGAUGACACGGAGCCGGUCUGGAAGGAUGAACGGCCACAUUGGGACUGAGACACGGCCCAGACUCCUACGGGAGGCAGCAGUGGGGAAUCUUCCGCAAUUGACGAAAGUCUGACGGAGCAACGCCGCGUGAGUGAUGACGGCCUUCGGGUUGUAAAGCUCUGUUAAUCGGGACGCGGUACCGGAAUAGAAAGCCACGGCUAACUACGUGCCAGCAGCCGCGGUAAUUC
rnacentral:rRNA from 1 species